CUGUUUGUUUUGUAUGGCUGAGGAGGAGGAGAUCAGCUGGCCAAAGGGGCGGCUGCUGGAGGCGACUCUUUUUUGGUCUCCAGUCACCUUUUCAGCACAGAAAUCCUCCCCGAAUCGGCUGGCUGCGUUCCACUUCUACAA